ensembl:miRNA gga-mir-7448 gga-mir-7448
CUCAUCCUCCAUGGUCUCCAGCAACGCCCUCAGGAACUGUUGUAGAACAGGAGAAGC